rnacentral:rRNA from 1 species
CCUACGGGUGGCUGCAGUGGGGAAUAUUGGGCAAUGGAGGCAACUCUGACCCAGCAACGCCGCGUGAGCGAUGAAGGUCUUCGGAUUGUAAAGCUCUUUAAGCGGGGACGACGAAAGUGACUGUACCCGCAAAAUAAGCCUCGGCUAACGACGUGCAAGCAGCCGCGGUAAUACGGAGGAGGCAAGCGUUAUCCGGAUUGACUGGGCGUAAAGGGUGCGUAGGUGGUUUGGCAAGUCAGUAGCGUAAUCCCGGGGCUCAACCUCGGUGCUACUACCAAAACUGUUGAACUUGAGUGCAGGAGAGGUAAAUGGAAUUCCCAGUGUAGCGGUGGAAUGCGUAGAUAUUAGGAAGAACACCAGCGGCGAAGGCGAUUCACUGGACUGUAACUGACACUGAGGCACGAAAGCGUGGGGAGCAAACAGGAUUAGAUACCCCAGUAGUC